CCCUUAGAUGUUCUGGGCCACACACGCGCUACACUGAAGGAGGCAGCGUGUACUCCUGGAUCGAAAGAUUUGGGUAACCCGCGAAUCUCCUUCGUGCUAGGGAUUGAGGUUUGCAAUUAUCCUUCAUGAACGAGGAAUUCCCAGUAAGUGCAAGUCAUAAGCUUGCGCUGACUACGUCCCUGCCCUUUGUACACACCGCCCGUCGCUACUACCGAUUGAAUGAUUUAGUGAGGACUUCGGACUGGGACCGAUGCGGCUUUCGGGCUGCGUCGGUAUUCUGGAAAGAUGUUCAAACUGUAUCAUUUAGAGGAAGUAAAAGUCGUAACA
rnacentral:rRNA from 1 species